rnacentral:rRNA from 1 species
GAUGAACGCUAGCGGGAGGCCUAACACAUGCAAGCCGAGCGGUAUGGAUAGCUUGCUAUCCAGAGAGCGGCGUACGGGUGCGUAACACGUGUGCAACCUACCUUUAUCUGGGGGAUAGCCUUUCGAAAGGAAGAUUAAUACCCCAUAAUAUAAUGAUUGGCAUCAAUUAUUAUUGAAAACUCCGGUGGAUAGAGAUGGGCACGCGCAAGAUUAGAUAGUUGGUGAGGUAACGGCUCACCAAGUCAAUGAUCUUUAGGGGUCCUGAGAGGGAGAUCCCCCACACUGGGACUGAGACACGGACCAGACUCCUACGGGAGGCAGCAGUGAGGAAGAUUGGACAAUGGGUGAGAGCCUGAUCCAGCCAUCCCGCGUGAAGGAUGACGGUCCUAUGGAUUGUAAACUUCUUUUGGACAGGGAUAAACCUACCCUCGUGAGGGUAGCUGAAGGUACUGUACGAAUAAGCACCGGCUAACUCCGUG